rnacentral:rRNA from 1 species
CUACGGGAUGCAGCAGUGAGGAAUAUUGCACAAUGGGGGGAACCCUGAUGCAGCAACGCCGCGUGGAGGAUGACGCAUUUCGGUGUGUAAACUCCUUUUAUAUGUCAAGAAAAUGACGGUAGCAUAUGAAUAAGCACCGGCUAACUCCGUGCCAGCAGCCGCGGUAAUACGGAGGGUGCAAGCGUUACUCGGAAUCACUGGGCGUAAAGGACGCGUAGGCGGGUUGGAAAGUCAGGUGUGAAAUCCUACAGCUUAACUGUAGAACUGCACUUGAAACUACCGACCUAGAGUAUGGGAGGGGAGGAUGGAAUUAGUGGUGUAGGGGUAAAAUCCGUAGAUAUCACUAGGAAUACCUAAAGCGAAGGCGAUCUCCUGGAACAUUACUGACGCUAAGGCGUGAAAGCGUGGGGAGCAAACAGGAUUAGAUACCCCCGUAGUC